rnacentral:lncRNA from 1 species
GGCUGGUAUGAUGGCUGGUUUAUUUGAUGGUUUAUCCAAACAAUUGGCUGGGUUUGACAUUUCAUCUAGACAAAUGAGAUCUUGACACAUACAAGCUUCCAUUCAUUCAGUAAUGGUAACAAAUGGAACACAUGCAUUGAAGCCCACAUAAGUAUAUAUUUCUCUCUGUCAGAAUUUUUUUCAUUUGGCAAGUUUUUUUCUCUCUCUUCUCUCCCCCUCUCUCUCUCUCUCGUACGCUCUUCUCUCCCUCCUCUCUGCCUCAUCUCAUCCAUCACCGUAACAUCCACCACAACCCACACCACCACCUACAAAUCAAUCACUCGUCAGAGGGAGGGAGUGGCCGAGUGUGAGAAUAUUUUCUGGGGAGGGAAGUUCCGGUGAGGAAGAGAGAGUUCCGGCCGUGAUAGAGAGUUCCGGUGGCGUUUCAUGGCGGUGUUUGGCGACGGUGAUGCUUCUUGCUCCUUCGUUCAUCUGGUUUGAUCUUAGUUUCUAUACUAUUUUUAUUUUUAUUUUUAUUUUUUCGUUGCUUUUUUUUUUGGUUGAAGAUUGGAGGUGGUGGUGAUGUGUGGUGGUUAUGGUGGAUGGUGAUGUAUCUCCAAAUUCAUCUUCUACAUUUCAUCUUUCUCAAUUUGUCAAUUUUCAUCUCUGUAAUUGGUACUCUGUGUUGUAUUUUUGCAGGCUCCAUGGAAGAAUAAUGCUCCUUCAGACCUCCACCUUCCUCCAAGCCAGCCAAAUCUGGUGGUGACAAGCAGAAGAAGGUUCGUUUUUCUCUUCAAAGUUUUUUUUUAAUUUUUUUUUUUUGCAGCUUUUGUUUCAUCGUAUGUGUAAUUANN